GGAGCAGGGGAUCCUCUGGUCAGUCUAGGUCCCCUACCCAUCUCUAUGUGUGUUGUGAGGUGCUCUGCCCUACCCCACGCUGAGGGAGUGACCUUAGUUAUCCAGAGACUAGGGAAAGAAUGCCAGGAAGCGGGACAACACCUACCUACUACCUGGACUGCAAAAAGAGGGUGCUCAUGCUAUUUUAAAUGAAAGAAAUCUCUAGGACAGAGGCAUGAAAAUACUCCAAAUAGAAUGAGGAAAGAAGUGACAGGCUCCAUAGGCUGGAACUCAGGAGACCCAGGUUCAAGUCCCAGCACUACCACUUACCAGGCGAGUGAUUCUGGGACAGUUACUGUGCAAUGAGAGCAAGCAACUUCAGAAUUUCUUUCG
rnacentral:sRNA from 1 species